rnacentral:rRNA from 1 species
AACGAACGCUGGCGGCAUGCCUAACACAUGCAAGUCGAACGAGACCUUCGGGUCUAGUGGCGCAAGGGUGCGUAACGCGUGGGAACCUGCCCUUAGGUUCGGAAUAACUCCCCGAAAGGGGUGCUAAUACCGGAUAAUGUCUUCGGACCAAAGAUUUAUCGCCUUUGGAUGGGCCCGCGUUGGAUUAGCUAGUUGGUAGGGUAAAAGCCUACCAAGGCGACGAUCCAUAGCUGGUCUGAGGGGAUGAUCAGCCACACUGGGACUGAGACACGGCCCAGACUCCUACGGGAGGCAGCAGUGGGGAAUAUUGGACAAUGGGCGAAAGCCUGAUCCAGCAAUGCCGCGUGAGUGAUGAAGGCCUUAGGGUUGUAAAGCUCUUUUACCCGGGAUGAUAAUGACAGUACCGGGAGAAUAAGCUCCGGCUAACUCCGCG